UUUUUUUUCAUAUGAUUUGUUAUAGAACACUUGAUUUCAGAUUUAUAUCCUUUGUAAAACCCUAGGUUUCACAUUCUAUGAAGAAAUCAUACAUCGUGAGUCAACGAUCCUGAGAUAGCAUCAUCAGCUCUCAAUCACACAAACCCUAAUCCUAAUCAUCAUCUACUCUCGGACAUCAUCAGGGUUCUUACAAGUCCAUCUCUA